AAAGCGUAUACGGUGGAUGCCUUGGCAGUUAGAGGCGAUGAAGGACGUGUAAGUCUGCGAAAAGCUGUGGUGAGCUGACAAAACGCAUUUGAGCCACAGAUGUCCGAAUGGGGAAACCCGGCCCUUAGGGGUCAUCAAAGACUGAAUACAUAGGUCUUUGAAGCAAACGUAGGGAACUGAAACAUCUAAGUACCUAUAGGAAAAGAAAUCAACCGAGAUUUCCCUAGUAGCGGCGAGCGAACGGGAAUUAGCCCUUAAGCUAAUUGAAAGUGAGUGGAACAAGUUGGAAAGCUUGGCGAUACCAGGUGAUAGCCCUGUACACGAACACGAACUUUAAGUGAAAACGAGUAGGUCGGGACACGUGAUAUCCUGACUGAAUAUGGGGGGACCAUCCUCCAAGGCUAAAUACUCCUAACUGACCGAUAGUGAACUAGUACCGUGAGGGAAAGGCGAAAA
rnacentral:rRNA from 1 species